rnacentral:siRNA from 1 species
UUUUUUACAGGACGGGUUGA